CGGGAAUAUUGGACAAUGGGGGCAACCCUGAUCCAGCCAUGCCGCGUGAGUGAUGAAGGCCUUAGGGUUGUAAAACUCUUUUGUCCGGGAAGAUAAUGACUGUACCGGAAGAAUAAGCCCCGGCUAACUUCGUGCCAGCAGCCGCGGUAAUACGAAGGGGGCUAGCGUUGUUCGGAAUCACUGGGCGUAAAGCGCACGUAGGCGGAUUGUUAAGUCGGAGGUGAAAUCCCAGGGCUCAACCUUGGAACUGCCUUCGAUACUGGCAAUCUCGAGUUUGGAAGAGGUUGGUGGAACUGCGAGCGUAGAGGUGAAAUUCGUAGAUAUUCGCAAGAACACCAGUGGCGAAGGCGGCCAACUGGUCCAAUACUGACGCUGAGGUGCGAAAGCGUGGGGAGCAAAC
rnacentral:rRNA from 1 species